UACGAAGGGGGCUAGCGUUGUUCGGAAUUACUGGGCGUAAAGCGUAUGCAGGCGGAUCGUUAAGUCGGGGGUGAAAUCCCGAGGCUCAACCUCGGAACUGCCUUCGAUACUGGCGACCUUCGAGUCCGGGAGAGGUGAGUGGAACUCUGAGUGUAGAGGUGAAAUUCGUAGAUAUUCGGAAGAACACCAGUGGCGAAGGCGGCUCACUGGCCCGGUACUGACGCUGAGAUACGAAAGCGUGGGGAGCAAACAGG
rnacentral:rRNA from 1 species